GAAAUGCGAUAAGUAAUGUGAAUCGCAGAAUUCCGUGAAUCAUCGAAUCUUUGAACGCACAUUGCGCCCUCUGGCAUUCCGGGGGGCAUGCCUGUCCGAGCGUCAUUACGCACCCUCAAGCCCGGCUUGUGUGAUGGGCCCCGGCGUCUCGUUCGCGAGACGGGCCCGAAAGGCAGCGGCGGCGUCGACCCGAUGAGCCCGAGCGUAUGGGGACUUCUGUCACACGUUCGCGGUGCGGACCGGCGCCUGCUUGACUUUUCUGAUUAUCCAGGUUGACCUCGGAUCAGGUAGGGAUACCCGCUGAACUUAAGC
rnacentral:misc_RNA from 1 species